GACAGAGGGUGCAAACGUUGUUCGGAAUUACUGGGCGUAAAGCGCACGUAGGCGGCUUUGUAAGUUAGAGGUGAAAGCCUGGAGCUCAACUCCAGAACUGCCUUUAAGACUGCAUCGCUUGAAUCCUGGAGAGGUGAGUGGAAUUCCGAGUGUAGAGGUGAAAUUCGUAGAUAUUCGGAAGAACACCAGUGGCGAAGGCGGCUCACUGGACAGGUAUUGACGCUGAGGUGCGAAAGCGUGGGGAGCAAACAGGG
rnacentral:rRNA from 1 species